GAUGAACGCUGGCGGCGUGCUUAACACAUGCAAGUCGAACGGUGAACACGGAGCUUGCUCUGUGGGAUCAGUGGCGAACGGGUGAGUAACACGUGAGCAACCUGCCCCUGACUCUGGGAUAAGCGCUGGAAACGGCGUCUAAUACUGGAUAUGUGACGUGACCGCAUGGUCUGCGUCUGGAAAGAAUUUCGGUUGGGGAUGGGCUCGCGGCCUAUCAGCUUGUUGGUGAGGUAAUGGCUCACCAAGGCGUCGACGGGUAGCCGGCCUGAGAGGGUGACCGGCCACACUGGGACUGAGACACGGCCCAGACUCCUACGGGAGGCAGCAGUGGGGAAUAUUGCACAAUGGGCGCAAGCCUGAUGCAGCAACGCCGCGUGAGGGACGACGGCCUUCGGGUUGUAAACCUCUUUUAGCAGGGAAGAAGCGAAA
rnacentral:rRNA from 1 species